GAUGAACGCUGGCGGCGUGCCUAAUACAUGCAAGUCGAGCGAACAGACGAGGACUUUGUUCCUCUGAUGUUUGCGGCGGACGGGUGAAACACACAUGGAUCCCCCCUCUAUACGACGGGGAUAACUUCGAAAAGCUGGAGCUAACCCCGGAAAAUAUAUUGUACCGCAUGGUUCACUAGAAAAAUACGGUUUUGUUGUCACUUAUAGAUCGUUCCGCGCCGUAUUAGCUAGUUGGUAAGGUAACUGCUUACGACGGCAACGAUGCGUGGCCGACCUGAGAGGGGGAUGGGCCACAUGGGAACUGGAACACGGUCAAGACUCCUACGGGAGGCAGCAGAAGGGAACCUUCGGCAAGGGGGGAAAGCUUGACGAGGCAACCCGGCGGGAGUGAUGAGGGUUUCGGGUUCGUAAGACCCUGUUAUUAGGGAGAAACAGAUUUGGAAUGAAAUGUGCACGUCUUGACGGUACCUAAUCAGAAAGCCACGGCUAACUACGUG
rnacentral:rRNA from 1 species